ACCCUUGAAGUAUAUUAGUACAUCCGAUUUCCACUUGGAAGGGCCAAAUUGGCAAGGGCA
rnacentral:tRNA from 1 species